CACUCGCAACCCGACUUGAACGGAGCUCUUUUUUGUUAUUGCGAUUAUUGAAAUGUUCUUUUGAUGGUAAAAUGUUCUUCGCAAUGACAAAAAAAGCGGGAGUGGAAGGCGGAAUAGUUG
rnacentral:sRNA from 1 species